rnacentral:tRNA from 1 species
AUCAGGGUAGCAAGUAAUUGCGGUAAGCCUCAAGCUUAUAGAUGAAGAUUUAUUUCCUUGAUU